GAUGAACGCUGGCGGCGUGCCUCAAACAUGCAAGUCGAGCGGGGCUAUGUAAUAUCGCAAGGUAGAACAUAGCCUAGCGGCGAACGGGUGAGUAACACGUGGGUAACCUGCCUGGAAGACAGGGAUAACGAUUCGAAAGGGUCGCUAAUACCUGAUAAUAUCCUUUCAUCGCAUGGUGAUAGGAAGAAAGGGGAAACCCGCUUUCAGAUGGGCCCGCGUCCCAUCAGCUAGUUGGUAAGGUAAAGGCUUACCAAGGCGACGACGGGUAGCCGGUCUGAGAGGAUGUACGGCCACACUGGGACUGAGAUACGGCCCAGACUCCUACGGGAGGCAGCAGUUGGGAAUCUUAGGCAAUGGACGAAAGUCUGACCUAGCGACGCCGCGUGAGGGAAGAAGGCCUUCGGUUGUAAAGCUCUGUCUGGAGGGACGAAGGAAGUGACGGUACCUCCGGAGGAAGCCACGGCUAACUACGUGCCAGCAGCCGCGGUAAAGUACUCUAU
rnacentral:rRNA from 1 species